UACGGGGGGAGCAAGCGUUGUUCGGAUUUACUGGGCGUAAAGGGCGCGUAGGCGGUCAGCACAAGUCAGUUGUGAAAUCUCCGGGCUUAACUCGGAAAGGUCAACUGAUACUGUGCGACUAGAGUGCGGAAGGGGCAACUGGAAUUCUCGGUGUAGCGGUGAAAUGCGUAGAUAUCUGGAGGAACACCGGUGGCGAAGGCGGCAUCCUGGACCGGCAUUGACGCUGAGGCGCGAAAGCCAGGGGAGCAAACGGG
rnacentral:rRNA from 1 species